AUAUUUUCAACUUUUGCAAAUCUGUGACUGAUUCACGUGCGAUAGCUGCAGCAGUCACGAGCAUCAGCACCGCCGUUAGUCUGGGUUGCCACCGCUUCUUCUCCGAUGGGCAUGUAGAUUUGUCUUCCUUUGCAGAACCGAAUACAUAUUGUUACCGUACUUGGUUAUUACUGAUUACUCAGGGUAUUGUCGUUGUCGAUGUGCAUGUGCUACAUGCAAACACAACAUAGCGGUGAUGCUCAUGCACUUAUCCACCUUGGACCAGAGAGAGAGCCUUCAACUUCAAGCGGUGUUCACGACACCACGCAUUUUCAAAUGAUACCGACAUAAGAUGUAUAAUAUUACGAAUUUAC
rnacentral:lncRNA from 1 species